rnacentral:rRNA from 1 species
GACAGAGGGUGCAAACGUUGUUCGGAAUUACUGGGCGUAAAGCGCGUGUAGGCGGCCCUGCAAGUCGGGUGUGAAAUCCCAUGGCUCAACCAUGGAAGUGCACUCGAAACUGCAGGGCUAGAGUCCUGGAGAGGAAGGUGGAAUGCUUGGUGUAGAGGUGAAAUUCGUAGAUAUCAAGCGGAACACCGGUGGCGAAGGCGGCCUUCUGGACAGUGACUGACGCUGAGACGCGAAAGCGUGGGAGCAAC